GCCCGCCUAGCUCAAUCGGAUAGAGCGUCAGACUUUUACGUUUGUGGCGGUUUCUGCACGUAAUCUGAAGGCUGCGAGUUCGACCCUCGCGGUGGGCU